GACAGUUUUUCAGGAAAAUGAGUAUGGAGGGAGCCAUACAGGCCCUGUUAUAAGCGGCGGCCGCCCAACAAGAGGCAACGAGAGCUCAACAAAUAGUUCAUCAGGAUGCAAUGCGAAUGUAUCAGGACACGUUACAGAUCCAGCACCGCACCAACCAGCUGCUCAUAGAAGAGCAAGAGAGAAACACUCGGGAGUUAAGAGAAGGCCUAAAGGGGCUAGCGGACCAAAUUGGGGCUCAAUUACCAGCUGUAAAUACCCAGAGGAGGGCCAAUCAUUUUCUUCAAAAAAUGACAGCGCAGGAUGAUGUGGAAGCAUAUCUUACCACCUUCGAAAGGAAAGCAGAGAGGGAGAAGUGGCCGAAAGAAGAAUGGGCAGGGCUUCUGGCACCAUACCUGGCAGGGGACGCUCAAAAUGCGUAUUUCGACCUGGAGUUGAAAGAUGCACAGGAUUACGAUAAACUAAAGGGGGAGAUCCUGACUAGACUGGGAGUGACCGAUACCGUGAGGGCACACCGCUUCCACCAGUGGUCCUACCGACCGGGACAACCCCCACGAACACAGAUGUUCGACUUGAUUCACCUGGCACGGAAAUGGUUGCGACCAGAGACCCGGUCAACCGCCGAGAUUGUCGAGACCAUCGUACUCAACCAGUUUCAGCGAGGUCUACCCCAAGAAGUGAGACGAUGGGGUUGGCCAGAACGAGGUACUUUCCGCCGACCAUCUCGUGGGCCUGGUUGAACGGUAUUGUACGGCAAGAACAGCUGAGCAGGCACAGGAGGAAAGAUUCCCGUUCCCCAGGCAUGGGCGAACCAUCGGACAGGGUAAAGCUGUCCCAACAUAUAGAGGGGGAAGAGAGCAGCGUGGGGCCAUGAGGAAAGAAUCAGAAUCAGGCCGAGACACUAAGGGAAAAACGGAAACCGGGACUGGGUGUCGAGGGGGUCUCCCCCACGAACCCCUAUUAUCUGUUACAAUUGUAAUCAACCAGGACAUAUUGCAGCCUACUGCCCUAUUAAAGAAGAGCCAAUGCAAUGUAACCUUGGUGAAAAUGAAGAUGAUAUACGGUAUGCAUGUCCUGUUGUAACCACUGUACUUGAAAGAUCAAGAAACAAACAUAUGUGCAGGGUGAAGGUUGAAGGGAAAGAGGUUGAAGCACUGCUGGAUUCCGGCAGUAUGCUAACCCUGGUCGUUGCAGGCCUAGUGCCGACUCAUAAACUGGAUACAAGACAGGAUAUCAGUGUUACAUGCAUUCAUGGGGAUACCCGUCUGUACCCCACGGCCUUAGUGAGCAUACAAACAGAGGACGGUCUGCUGGAUUAUGAGGUCAGCAUGGUCCCAAAGAUGCCAUAUGAUGUAAUAUUGGGUAGAGACUUUCCUAACUUUGCGAAGUUAGGCCACAAGAAUGGCAUAUUUGAGAAGCCAACAACCCUGACCAAGCAGGAAGAAGCAUGGGGCCUUCAACCAAAGCCAAGAAAAGAGGUCUCCCAGGGGACAACAUCACGGGUGCUAGUAGGGGAGGAGGAGGAUGAAGUGGCAAACCUCGCUGAUAACAAACAGCCCGGUACUAGUGGGGCUGGGGUCGAUCUGAAUCCAGAGGACGACGAUCUAGAACCAGCAGACCUGGCAGAGUCCUUGACUAAUUUUGGGACGGCCCAAAACCAGGAUCCAACCCUGCAACAAGCCAGAGCAGAUGUGCAGGUCGUAGAUGGCACUCCCAUAAAUGGUGGGAUGAUGCCUAAUAGUUUUUCCCACUUCAUCAUGAAAAAGGGUUUGGUGUACAGAGUCUCGAAAAUAGGGGUUGAUGUGGUGGAACAGUUGUUUGUUCCCACUCGGUACCGAAGGACAGUACUGGAUCUAGCUCAUGGGCACAUUCUGGGUGGACACCUUGGUAUCGAUAAAACCCGAGACCGGAUUGUAAGGAGGUUUUACUGGCCAGGAAUUCAAGAUGAAGUGGCUUGGCAUUGUGGAGAGUGCCCGGAGUGCCAGUUAACAGCUCCCCGACCAGCUUUUAGAAGCCCGUUAGUGCCACUCCCCAUAAUCGAAACAUCAUUUGAGAGGAUAGCGAUGGAUUUAGUGGGCCCACUACCCAAAUCCGCCAGAGGGCACCAAUACAUUCUGGUCAUUCUAGAUUAUGCCACUCGCUACCCAGAAGCCAUUCCCCUUCGGACGAUGACUUCCAAAAAUAGCGCAAAGGAAUUAGUGCUCUUGUUCACCAGGGUAGGGAGAGAUCCUUACCGACCAGGGGACCCCCUUUAUGUCCCGCCUUAUGGCGGACCUUUGUAAACUGUGGCAGGUGAAACAGUUGAGGACAUCGGUUUACCAUCCUCAGACGGACGGGCUGGUUGAGAGAUUCAACCGAACCCUGAAGUCAAUGCUCAGGAAGGUAAUCGAAAAGGAUGGGAAAAACUGGGAUUGCAUGUUGCCGUAUCAGAUGUUUGCCAUUAGAGAGGUUCCUCAAGCCUCGCUGGGGUUUUCUCCCUUUGAGCUGGUAUAUGGGAGGCAUCCCCGGGGAAUCUUAGACAUCGCCCGGGAAACCUGGGAGCACCAAUCCACCCCGUAUACUAGUGUCAUAGAGCACGUCACGGCAAUGCAAGACAGGAUAGCCACAGUCAUGCCCAUCGUCAGAGAGCACAUGAGACAAACACAAGAACACCAGCGGCACACUUAUAACCGGCAGGCUACCCUGAGGGAAUUUCAACCGGGAGAUAAGGUGUUAGUGCUGAUCCCCACGGUAGAGUGUAAACUACUAGCCACAUGGAAUGGACCAUAUGAAGUACUGGAGAGAAUAGGAGACUCAAUUAUCGGAUCCGACAGCCAGGUCGACGGCCUCAGGAACAGAUUUAUCACAUAAACCUGAUAAAAGCAUACGCCGCAGCUUAUUUAGAUGACGUGGGGAUCUACAGCCCAGAUUGGGAAUCCCACUUACCCCGGGUACAGGCAGUGUUAGAUGCCCUUAGAAAGGCAGGGCUCACGGCAAACCCUGCCAAGUGUUAUGUGGGGUUAGAGGAAACAGAGUAUCUGGGAUACACUGUGGGAAGAGGGUUAAUCAAACCUCAACAUAAGAAGGUGAAGGCCAUUAGAGAAUGGCCGAAACCAGUAAAUAAUAAGCAGGUCCGAGCCUUCCUAGGGCUGACCGGUUACUACCGGAAGUUCAUCCCAAGUUAUGCCACAGUGGCCGCCCCACUUACCGACAUGACUAGAGCCAGAGGGCCAAACAUGGUCAAAUGGGAUGAAAGGGCCACCAAAGCAUUUAGGACAUUACAGGAGGCUCUCUGCUGUAACCCAGUGCUGGUGGUACCAGACUUUGAGAAAGAGUUUGUGGUUCAGACGGAUGCCUCAGAGGUCGGCUUGGGAGCAGUGCUAUCCCAAGAGGUAGAAGGGGUGGAAUACCCCAUCCUGUUUUUAAGCAGGAAGCUGGAACCACGGGAAACCAACUACUCAGUCGUUGAGAAAGAGGCGCUGGCAGUAAAGUGGGCUCUAGAAAGCCUGAAGUACUACCUGCUGGGGCGCCUCUUCACCCUCAUCAGUGACCAUGCCCCACUCACCUGGAUGCAUAGGGCUAAAGAGAAGAACGCUCGGGUGAUGCGGUGGUUUUUGAGUCUCCAACCGUUUCAUUUUGACUUGAAACACAGAGCAGGGAAGGAAAUGGGAAACGCGGAUGGGUUAUCCCGCAUGCAUGCAUAUUUUGCUGCGGUAGCCCGACCUAGGGGGUCGGAUCUAGGGGGGGAGAUAUGUGGCAAAGAAGGGGGUCGAGUGAUAAGUGGCAGAUAUGUGAGAGCAGAACUAAUAAACGGGCUAUGACCGAUCACUAAAAUGGCCACCCCUGUCAGAACUACAGAUCACAAAAUGGCCGACCGCCACAACUACAAGUCCCAGAAGCAAGGGGAACCCUCAGAAGGUGGAGCCGACUCACAGAUAAAGGGUCAAGAAAAACCAGGAAGAGGAAGAGAGAUGGCUGGAAGGAGCUAUGAACAAUAGAGAAAGAGACUAUAGAGAUUGGCUGGAUUUACCGCGUAUGAGCUGGAUUGUUUUGGACUUACCUGUUGGCGUUUGGACCUGGACCUACCUAGAACCCGAUUCGUGUACCGAACCCUGCUAUCCUUGACCUCGCCUACGGCCUGGGUGGACCAGGACAGAGAAACAAACACACAGAGCAGAGACUGAGAGAGGCCUUUCAAGGAAACACAUUAUUGAAGGUCUGAAGGGCUCCCUCCAGAGGUUGCAGCUGGAAUACGUAGACGUUGUCUUCGCAAACCGCCCCGACACCAACACACCCAUGGAGG